rnacentral:rRNA from 1 species
UUUGGGCGUGUCUCCCUUCUCGGGAGACUCUCUCAACCCCACGAACCCUUGACCUCAAAUCGGGUGAGACUACCCGCUGAACUUAAGCAUAUCAAUAAGCGGAGGAAAAGAAACUAACAAGGAUUCCCCUAGUAACUGCGAGUGAAGCGGGAAAAGCUCAAAUUUAAAAUCUGGCGGUCUCUGGCCGUCCGAGUUGUAAUUUAGAGAAG